UACAGAGGGUGCGAGCGUUGUUCGGAAUUAUUGGGCGUAAAGGGCGCGUAGGCGGUGCCACAAGUCACUUGUGAAAUCUCCGGGCUUAACUCGGAGCCUGCAGGCGAAACUGUGGUGCUGGAGUGUGGGAGAGGUGCGUGGAAUUCCCGGUGUAGCGGUGAAAUGCGUAGAUAUCGGAAGGAACACCAGUGGCGAAAGCGGCUUCCUGGUCCAGCACCGACGUUCAGGCACGAAAGCGUGGGGAGCAAACAGG
rnacentral:rRNA from 1 species